rnacentral:miRNA from 1 species
UUUCCUCAUAUCCAUUCAGGAGUGU